GACGGAGAACAAGGUGACCUUGUCACCACCGGCGCCCUCCAUCUCCACCUUGUACGCCCGGGCCGGGCCGGUGCUGUGGCACAUGUACACGGUGUAUGGGUACUCCUUCUGGUGGCACCCCACGAAGCUGGAGCCCCGGACGGGUCGCACAGCACGGAUGGUGUACGGCUGCAGCGGCGACCCGGCGCGGGGCACCCUGGAGAUCAUCUCGGUGAUGCUCCUGGUGCCGAGCACCCCCUGGGCACCCUCGACCAGGGCCUCCAGUGAGGUGGCGCAGAACUUGGCCUCCCACUCGAGGCCCGGGUCCUCGCACAUGCCCAGGGUCUCCUCCAUCUUGGCCGCCUGGGCAGAGCCCUCGGUGACGUUGAACUGGGCGAGGAUGCCCGGGAGGGCGGAGGAGGAGAAGGGGAUGGCGUCGGCG
rnacentral:lncRNA from 1 species